rnacentral:rRNA from 1 species
UACGUAGGGUGCAAGCGUUGUCCGGAAUUAUUGGGCGUAAAGAGCUCGUAGGCGGUUCGUCGCGUCGGCUGUGAAAUCCCGAGGCUCAACCUCGGGUCUGCAGUCGAUACGGGCGGACUGGAGUACUGCAGGGGAGACUGGAAUUCCUGGUGUAGCGGUGAAAUGCGCAGAUAUCAGGAGGAACACCGGUGGCGAAGGCGGGUCUCUGGGCAGUUACUGACGCUGAGGAGCGAAGGCGUGGGGAGCGAACAGG